GUCGUGAGACAGUUCGGUCCCUAUCCGUCGUGGGCGCAGGAAAUUUGAGAGGAGCUGUCCUUAGUACGAGAGGACCGGGAUGGACGCACCGCUGGUGUACCAGUUGUCUUGCCAAAGGCAUAGCUGGGUAGCUAUGUGCGGAAGGGAUAAGUGCUGAAAGCAUCUAAGCAUGAAGCCCCCCUCAAGAUGAGAUUUCCCUGUUACUUUGUAACGUAAGAUCCCUGAAAGAUGAUCAGGUUGAUAGGUCAGAGGUGGAAGCGCGGUGACGUGUGGAGCUGACUGAUACUAAUCGAUCGAGGACUUAACCUAAUACAA
rnacentral:rRNA from 1 species